UYAAAUUUGAAWUCUGGCCCCCGGGUCCGAGUUGUAAUUUGCAGAGGAUGCUUCGGGCGAGGUGCCUUCCGAGUUCCCUGGAACGGGACGCCACAGAGGGUGAGAGCCCCGUCUGGUCGGACACCGAGCCCGUGUGAAGCUCCUUCGAAGAGUCGAGUAGUUUGGGAAUGCUGCUCAAAAUGGGAGGUAUAUGUCUUCUAAAGCUAAAUAUUGGCCAGAGACCGAUAGCGCACAAGUAGAGUGAUCGAAAGAUGAAAAGCACUUUGAAAAGAGGGUUAAAAAGUACGUGAAAUUGUUGAAAGGGAAGCGCCCAUGACCAGACUUGGGCCCGGUGAAUCACCCGGCGUUCUCGCCGGUGCACUUUGCCGGGCACAGGCCAGCAUCAGUUUGGCGCGGGGGACAAAGGCUUCGGGAACGUGGCUCCCUCGGGAGUGUUAUAGCCCGCUGCGUAAUACCCUGCGCCGGACUGAGGUACGCGCAUCGCAAGGAUGCUGGCGUAAUGGUCAUCAGCGACCCGUCUUGAAACACGGACCAAGGAGUCGUCUUCGUAUGCGAGUGUUCGGGUGUCAAACCCCUACGCGGAAUGAAAGUGAACGCAGGUGAGAGCUUCGGCGCAUCAUCGACCGAUCCUGAUGUUCUCGGAUGGAUUUGAGUAAGAGCAUACGGGGCCGGACCCGAAAGAAGGUGAACUAUGCCUGUAUAGGGUGAAGCCAGAGGAAACUCUGGUGGAAGCUCGCAGCGGUUCUGACGUGCGAAUCGAUCGUCAAAUUUGGGCAUGGGG
rnacentral:rRNA from 1 species